rnacentral:rRNA from 1 species
GACGAACCGUGCAAACGUUGUUCGGAAUCACUGGGCUUAAAGGGCGCGUAGGCGGCUUGUCAAGUCAGGGGUGAAAUCUUUCGGCUUAACCGGAAAAGUGCCUCUGAUACUGACAGGCUCGAGGGAGGUAGGGGCAUGUGGAACUUCCGGUGGAGCGGUGAAAUGCGUUGAUAUCGGAAGGAACGCCGGUGGCGAAAGCGACGUGCUGGACCUCUUCUGACGCUGAGGCGCGAAAGCUAGGGGAGCGAACGGG